UACGUAGGGGGGCAAGCGUUUGUCCGGAUUUAUUGGGCGUAAAGAGCGUGUAGGCGGCCAGACAGGUCCGUUGUGAAAAACUCGAGGCUCAACCUCGAGAUGUCGAUGGAAACCGUCUGGCUAGAGUCCGGAAGAGGAGUGUGGAAUUCCUGGUGUAGCGGUGAAAUGCGCAGAUAUCAGGAAGAACACCUAUGGCGAAGGCAGCACUCUGGGACGGUACUGACGCUGAGACGCGAAAAGCGUGGGGGAGCGAACAGG
rnacentral:rRNA from 1 species